rnacentral:rRNA from 1 species
UUCGCAAUGCCCGAAAGGGUGACGAAGCCAUUCCGCGUGGGUGAGGAAGACCUUCGGGUUGUAAAGCCCUGUCAGGAGUUAAGAAAUGUAAGUGUGUUAAUACCGCAUUUACUUGACGAAAGCUCCAAAGGAAGCCACGGCUAACUCUGUGCCAGCAGCCGCGGUAAUACAGAGGUGGCAAGCGUUGCUCGGAAUUAUUGGGCGUAAAGAGCACGUAGGUGGAUUUGUAAGUCAGAUGUGAAAGCCUUCUGUUCAAAGGAAGAACGGCAUCUGAAACUACAGAUCUUGAGUGUAGGAGGGGAGAGUGGAACUUCUGGUGGAGCGGUGAAGUGCGUAGAUAUCAGAAGGAACGUCGGCGGCGAAAGCGAUUCUCUGGCCUAUUACUGACACUCAGUGUGCGAAAGCUAGGGGAGCAAACGGGAUUAGAUACCCCGGUAGUCCUAGCCGUAAACGAUGGGCACUAAGUAGAGGGGUUUU